rnacentral:rRNA from 1 species
AUACGGAGGGUGCAAGCGUUGUUCGGAAUCACUGGGCGUAAAGGGCGCGCAGGCGGUUUGGUAAGUCAGAUGUGAAAGCCCACGGCUCAACCGUGGAAGUGCAUUUGAAACUGCCAGACUUGAGUACCAGAGGGGAAAGUGGAAUUCCCGGUGUAGAGGUGAAGUUCGUAGAUAUCGGGAGGAAUACCGGUGGCGAAGGCGACUUUCUGGCUGGAUACUGACGCUGAGGCGCGAAAGCGUGGGGAGCAAACAGGAUUAGAAACCCUAGUAGUCC